rnacentral:lncRNA from 1 species
CUUCUUCGUCGUCGUCGUCGUCGUAUCCCCGUCAUCUUAUCUCAUCUCUCCACAAGAACUCGGCUUUCUGCCUUCGAGGCCUCGAUCCUAAACCAGGUCAGAAACGAACCCCUCUUCCAAUACAAGAAGAGAUUUGCUCAAAAGAGAUUUUUCCCCCUUCCUUCCCCAAGAAACUGCUAUGAAUCUUUUAGUGAGAAUUAUUAUUUAGGCUUUUAGUUUUAUCUUUCUUCGUUUUUAUAAAAUCGGGUGUUUUUAUCUUUUGUUAUGUUGCCUUAUCGCCGAUGCUUGCAUAUGAAUUUCUGCAGAUCUAACGAUCAAUAGGGCUUCUAUCUUAUUGUUAAUCCUGCUUCUUUUCUUUUCUUUUUUCCCUUCUGGUCAUUUCAUCUUUUUAUUUUGAGAAGAUCUUUUUUCUUUGUUGUUUUUGGGAAGGUUUCGUGGAUCGAAAUUGCAAUAUUUAUAAAUGAUAGGCUUAAAUUGAUGCUCAGAAAAUGCUUUCGGAUAUAUAUUUGUGGAGAUCUAAGCUUUCUAUAAUUUGUUAAUUAGCUUUGUGUGCUUUUGGUCACAAUGGUUGUGUCAAUAGAUUGCUAGACGGUUAUUCUGCUUCGUUUGGUUCGGUACAAAUUCGAUUAUAGUGCCAAUGAAUCGAAACUUUAUUUAGAAUUCUGAGCUAAAACAUUUUCCUUUUUCUGUGUGGUAGUUUUUCUCUCUACCACCUACAGGUACUGCGUCAGCAUUGCAAGCAAUAGCCAAGGACCUGCCAAAUUAUAUUCAGCAUUUCCUACAUCUCCUGCCCUUGUUUCCUCUGUUAAUGAUCUCUUUGAGUUCAUAUGCUCGGGUCCUCUGAUAAAAAAAUUGGGCUUUACUGCUGAGACUGUAGCUGAGUCCAUCGACAGGUGGUUACAGUGUGGUUUUCACUUGUGUCAACUGUUCCGGUUGAACGACCUUAAUUUGUCAGUUCCUGAGAAGGCCAGAAUAUAUCAUUUCUACAUUCCAGUGUUCC